rnacentral:lncRNA from 1 species
CUCCGCGCUCCAUGAGGAGAUAGGCAGCCUGAUGGAGGAAGGAUAGUCUCGACGACGACAUAUUAGGAACUCGUCGUUGGAGAAGUCGUCGAGGGCGAAGAGGUACCGAAAUACCUCUUCGGCUUGAUGGGGAGGUGUCGGACGAGAGGCCAAUUGAGACCCAAGCGCCUCUGUUGGUGAGAAUUCGGCUAUGGCCGGCCGAAGGGAGGUGAAGUAUACCUGCAACCAGAGUUGGA